CAUUCACAUAGCCAUUGAGUCCUGUGCUGGUCCCUGUGUGCUCCAGAGUGACCCUUGGGAAUAAGAGCAGUGGUGCAUUCUUCUUUGGCUGAACUCAAGGUGAAGGCAAGUCGCCUCCAGGAUACUUGAAAGGCCCUCUUUUCUCUUGCCCCGUUAUAGCAUAUCUUGUGGUUAUCAGGGCUCCCACAAUUGUCAUCCUUGGAAUAAAAAACCUUCCUCUGUGCAGUCUCACUCCAGC
rnacentral:lncRNA from 1 species